UUUUAACGUACAGCUGAUGAAAAUCUAACUCAUCGUAUUCAAGAUAUUUAAACAUUUGUAAAAAUAAAAUUAAUAAAUAAAAUCAUUAUUAUUAAAAAAGAUAGUGUUAAUACAAGUCACUCAAAAUAUAAGAAGUAAUAAAUGGAAAAAGUUUAGAAAAAAGUACACAUGAUAAUUCACAACUGGAUAGUUACACAAAAUUUUCAUUUUACUUCUGCAAUUCAUAAUUCCAAUAAAUCUUAAGACAAUACACUUAGAGAAAAUGUUCAAGUGAAAGCAAUAACACUUGUCCCUUGUAGACCUAAAAUCGAUUUGCCUGCGGCUAUUCACCCCUAUAAAACAUGCAACUGCAGCAGACUAUUGUGAAAUGAUCGAACAAAAAUUUCUGAUUUCAAUUUAAAAUCAAAUUAUCCAACGUCAUACAAAAUCCGCUCUCAACUAAAGUUUUACUUUCAACAAAUAUUAUUUAAGAGAAUAUUUAAUCAGUAGAUUCUGAAUCGACCAUUUCAUAUGCAACAAUCUAAUAAUAAGUGAAUUACGAUCGAAUACCGUGAACCGAUGUUCAACAGAUGUGAAACGAGAAGCAAGAAUAAAAAGAAAAUAAUCCACACUCGUUAAAUCAGCGUACAGGAGUAGUUUGAGCCAUUACUCUGGAAAGAAAGAUGCUAGAAAAAGUUCAAAGGAGUACCGUACGCUUUGAUUAUUGGCACACGCCAUUGCUAAUAGCAGUCGUUCAAAAAUGAACGGGAAACGAGAAAUGUUGGAAUAGUAUUUCUUUUCCAACAUUUUCCAGUAUUUCUUUUUAGAAGCUUUGAUAAUUAAGUGAGUUUAAUUUUUU